rnacentral:rRNA from 1 species
UACGUAGGUGGCAAGCGUUGUCCGGGUUUACUGGGCGUAAAGAGCGCGCAGGCGGUCGUUCAAGUCGCGUGUGAAAGCCCCCGGCUCAACUGGGGAGGGUCACGCGAUACUGAUCGACUCGAAGGCAGGAGAGGGUAGUGGAAUUCCCGGUGUAGUGGUGAAAUGCGUAGAUAUCGGGAGGAACACCAGUGGCGAAGGCGACUACCUGGCCUGUUUCUUGACGCUGAGGCGCGAAAGCUAGGGGAGCAAACGGG